rnacentral:rRNA from 1 species
CGUAGGGUGCGAGCGUUAAUCGGAAUUACUGGGCGUAAAGCGUGCGCAGGCGGUUUUGUAAGCCAGAUGUGAAAUCCCCGGGCUUAACCUGGGAAUGGCAUUUGGGACUGCAAGGCUUGAGUGCGGCAGAGGAGACUGGAAUUCCCGGUGUAGCAGUGAAAUGCGUAGAUAUCGGGAGGAAUACCGAUGGCGAAGGCAGGUCUCUGGGCUGACACUGACGCUCAUGCACGAAAACGUGGGGAGCAAACAGGAUUAGAUACCCUGGUAGUCCACGCCCUAAACGAUGUCGACUGGUUGUUGGGGGUUUGACACUCUCAGUAACGAAGCUAACGCGUGAAGUCGACCGCCUGGGGAGUACGGCCGCAAGGUUA